UGAGGCAUCGAUCGGUCGACAUUGUGUUGCCAGACCUACCCUGUUCCUCUCUCCUCCUUCGUCCCCAAGGCUCUGAAUCCCCUGCAGUUUCCUCUGCAGAACUCUGCAUCCGAGUGUAACUGAAGAACUCUGCAUCCAAGUGUAAUCUGAAGAACUCUGCAUCCGAGUAUAAGUGUGUAACCGAUACAUUUCUUGCACCACUAUGCAGUCUAUGCUAGUGCGUGGCCAAGAUGGCCGUCGGUCCAACACGAUCUACCUACAGCGCCAGUGCACGACCAGUUCAUCGCCGGAAUUAAUCAACAUGAUCGUUGGACGUGUGCCUUAUGAUCGUCGAUCGAUCUGACUAAACAGUACAAGGCGAGGCAAGAAAGAACGAACAAACGAAACUAAUAGUAGAUCAUACACGUGAAGACGACGUGAUCACCAACACCUGGGAGAGUACAGAGACGCAAAGAGAGAAGAGCAUAUCGUAAUAACGAUCUAGCCACGACGUGCACGCACGCACGCGCGG
rnacentral:lncRNA from 1 species